rfam:Felis catus isolate Cinnamon breed Abyssinian chromosome B3, whole genome shotgun sequence.
ACCUGGCUGGCUCAGUGGGUGGAGCAUGUGACUGUUGAUCUCCUGGUCAUGAGCUCGAGCCCCAUGUUGGGCA